rnacentral:rRNA from 1 species
CAGUCGUACCUGCGGGUAAUCAGCCUUUUGGGCAUGAUUCUGUGGAGCGUGAGGAGCUAAUCGCCUUCAUGCCUAUAUAUUCGUGUACUUGGGGUGUACUUAUUCGUGAGGUAAGUUAACAUCAAUUUUGGUCGUCAUAAAAUGACUGGAGGAAUGGUAGCUUUGAUCUCGUAUUGAAGUGUUAUAG